UAUUCACGGAAUUGGCACAGCCUCUGCAUAAAAAAAUCCGACAGAUCACAUAAACACUGCCUUCAACGUGGAGGGCGGUGUUUCCCGACAGAACGGGAAUGGACAAAGGCGUCCUCGCUGGGUAACCGGCGGGACGCC
rnacentral:sRNA from 1 species